CCCGCACAAGCAGCGGAGCGUGUGGUUCAAUUCGAUGAUACACGAAGAACCUUACCUGGGUUUGACAUGCUAGUGGUAGUGACGCGAAAGCCGAACGACCCUUCGGGGAGCUAGCACAGGUGCUGCAUGGUUGUCGUCAGCUCGUGCCGUGAGGUGUUAGGUUAAGUCCUGCAACGAGCGCAACCCUUGUCGUUAGUUAUACUUUUCUAGCGAUACCGCCGGGGUAACUCGGAGGAAGGUGGGGAUGACGUCAAAUCAGCAUGGCCUUUAUAUCCAGGGCUACACACACGCCACAAUGGCCGACACAAUGGGUUGCCAAACCGCGAGGUGGAGCCAAUCCCCCAAAGUCGGUCUCAGUUCGGAUUGGAGGCUGCAACUCGCCUCCAUGAAGCUGGAGUUGCUAGUAACCGCCGGUCAGCUAUACGGCGGUGAAUACGUUCCCGGGCCUU
rnacentral:rRNA from 1 species